UCUCAGCGGAUCCGUCGCCAACAUCCUGCCCUUCCUGCUUCACACACACACAUCCCGCCCCAGCCCACUGGCCUCGCCCCCUGCGCCCUGCGCCGUCCGCCCCACGCGCCCUCCUCCGGGCACCUCCUCAGACUCCACGCAGCCGGGCCUCCGAGGGGCUCGCGCCCCGGAGGCGGGGAAAGGGAGAGAGGCUCCACAAAGAGCCCAAUUCCCAGGUGGGACGUUCCUCCGCCCCCACCGCGUCCCCUUCGUACCCCGCCCCGGUGGGGAGAGCCUGCGGUCCGCACAAGCAAGUCAGCGCCGCGGCCGCUGGUGACGUCGCGCGCCCAAGCUGGCUACCCCGGGCACGGCCUCCCCCUCAGGGUGACUCAGCUCCUGGCUCCUUCCCUUCCUGCCACCAGCUGAGACGUGUGACCGGUUACCAUGGUGACCGCAAGGAGCCCGGUUCGUACCUGUCUUUCCGGAUGAGACCUGGAUGUCUAAAUUGCUCCUGAGACCUGGAUGUCUAAAUUGCUCCUGAACGGAAUGCCUGGGCACAGCUGCUCACCUGCAGAGGCAGGCUUUGAAGACCUCCACCGAAGAUAAAUGAGGAGACCUCGGUCGGACCGUCAUUCCACGCUCACACAUAGAUCCCUCACCCGGGGACUUCCAGACCCAGUGAAGUGGCACUGCCUCCAUCCCAGCUUUCCAGAGCUGCAGCUGCCUGAGGGGAGGUCCCCAAAGGCAACUGUGUGUGCCCCCCCACCUCCACACAGAGACCCCAGCCCAUUCCCCUGCCAUUCCUCCAUCCUCACAGAAGCUCAUCCAUCGUCCAGUCGUCCAAGUAUCAGCUCAUUCAAGAAUUAAUUCAACAAGUAAGAACUGAGUCCCUACUCUGUACCUAGCCCUGCGCUAAGCUCCUUGUGACCUCCCCUGUAAAACGGCAACGGUUCUGCCUGCGCUUCGUAGGGUGUUUGUGAGAAUCAGACGAGAAGACAACUGCCAUGUGCUUGCAGCCUGUGAAGUGUUAUGAGGUAUGGCUUUGACAGGGAGAAGCCCUUUGGGUGCUUCCGAGAGAGGAAUGUUCCAGCCCCUAAGGGACUCCUUCCCCUCCCUUGGUCCUUGCAAUCCCAGCCAAGGAGCCCUUGAUUGGCAUUUACGGGCUAGUUUCUCAGGCCAACUUUGUACUUAUUCCUAAUAUGAGGAUUUAGUUUAUAUUUUCAAGACUUUUACAAAAGUAUUCUUCCCCAAAAUUUGCUGUAUGACCUUAAGCGGGUAGCUGGCCUCUCUGUGUGUCAGUUUUCUCAUCUGUAAAAUGGGAAUAAUAAGGGUAGCUGUCUUACAGGACUGCUGUGAGGAUCUGAAGAGUUAAUAUAUAUGGGGUGCUUAGAACAGUGGCUGGCACGCAGUGGGUACUAUGUAAAGGUGAGCUACUUAGGACCAUGAUGAGAUCUGCCGGUGGGACGGGAGGAUUCAAGCUAACAUUUUAUAAAGGACCCAAGGGAGCCUAGUGGACAAAUGCUUGGCUUUAAGACACAUCAAGCCCUGGUCUCCCCAGGCCUUAACCAACCUCCAUAUAACAGCUUCCUUGGGAAAGAGGCUGUCUUACAAACUCAGCCUGGAGAUUCUGUGUCCUAAGACACUGCAGCCUCUGAGAGAAGACACAACAGAGUCUCAAGCAAAUAAAUAACCCUGACCAACUGCUUCUGUGUCCGCAACAGCAUUUACUUAGCCCCUGCCUCCGGCUGAACACUGGUCUGGACACUGCAGAAAACGAAGAAAAGAAACAAAGCACUGGCCUUGAGGAGCCUACAGCCCACUGGGGAACUUUUCAAGAAAUGUAACCAAAGCAGCCCCUGCCCUGUCCAGGCAGUGUGUCCUAGACAGAAUGGUCCCUCUCUUGGAGAAUCUAACCCUUCUUACUCGUGUGAUUAUGCAUGGAACAGACAGUAGGGGGCCAAAAGCACAAGUCUAGAAAAAGGGACUGCAGAACAGUGCUCCCAUGAGCACUCCUGAGAAAGGCCUGCAGGUCAUGCCAAGCCCACCGUCUGCCCAGGUUACCAUGGCCAUCAUUAGGAGGAGCGGCACUUUUCACUGUGGACUCGGGUUUUUGUCCUCUGCGAUCAAUGAGCCAAAACGCUUGCAGAUAAGAAGAGUCCACAAGGCAAGGUCCACUCCAAGUGCAAGAGCACAUGACGACAUUAGACAAAUGCCAGAAGUCAGGUCCUGGAUACAGUGUAUGGGACAAAGACUGGGCAUCAAAAUGCCAGACUGAGUCAUCAAUCAAGGGAUGAAGUGGGCAGUGGAAGCAGAGGAGGACUGACAUGCUUCCACCUGUUUUCUUCUCUAGUCCUUACAACACAAUUAAGGUUGAUUAUUCCCCUUUUACAGAUGCAAAAACUGAAGCUCAAAGGGGUUAUUUGUCCCAAGGCUCCUCAGUGGUUAAGUGGUAGAACAAAGAGUUUUUUUAUCCCUAAAGCCUGAGUUUUUUCAACUAUACCACACAGCCUACAAAAAUAGAGCAAUCAUUUCCAUUUCUAUAUUUGUUCUUAAUAUUUAAUUAAUAUUUACUUCAUCAGACACCCCUUAAACAUCCUCAGUGUCCUAGGGCGGCAGCCAGGCAUCUCUAACCCAAAGCUCCUGCAUCGCCAGGCCCCAGGGAGGGAAGCGCCGCUCCUCCACUCCCUCUCCACUGGCGCACCGCGUCGGCGCUGACAGUACAGCUCCAGUUUGUUCAAACUCCAGACCGAAGGCUCAGACUCAGCUUCUGACGUGCUGAACAACAAACAGGGGCAGGAACUUGUCUCAAUCAGUGAGUCAGGGUGGUGGUGAGAAAGUGCCGGGGCGGAGAGGACAGCGCUGGUGGCGGCACGUUUCCCCGGGUCGCGCAGCAACCACCACCACCACCCCCGCCCCGAGUCCCGCCCUGGCCGCCACUGGGGGGCGCUGCUCUCAGACCCAGCGCGUGCCAGAAUCACCUGCAGACCCCUGACCCACCCCGCUCUUUCCCGGCGGGUGGCUGGGGUGCCUCACAGGCCCCCCCAAGGCAUCUGAUGCUCCAUAGGCCCCAGUUUGAAAAACACUGCAGGGGGCAGGGGAUGCGGGUCCUAGGCUGGGGCAGGCGGCUGCGGUGGAUGGGCAUGUGAUGUCAGCCGGCGGUGAUUACUUUCUAAAGAGAUGCUUUCUGUCUUAGAAUCUAAGAUGGUCCCUUGGGGAUGGGAGCGGCAGGAGGGGCAUAAAGAGCUUCUAGGCCACCCCUGCUCUAUUAGGGGGGGAGGAAACCCACACCCAGAGAAGAUGCCUUCAGUCUCUUUCAGAGCUGCUUUUCUUUCAGUUACCGUUUCCCAAAGGUGCCCCCUCCACAGACAGCCUUCCUCCACUGAGAAUUUCUCCCCUGCCUCUGCAUCACCUGGAGAGGCACUGCUCCCCUCCUCAGGCCUGCCUGUCACUCUAGACCUUCUUUCACUACUGAGGUAAUCGUCUUUCCCCAGCUAGGUGGGUUGGGCAGGUGGGAACAUUUGCAGAAGGGGAACUUAGAAGCUUACAGGGUGAAUCAUGAUUGCAGUCAAACCUGGGAAAGUCCUCAUGACUAUAUCUUCACCUACAUUACGAUAAACACGUUGCCGCACACACAGUCCUCUGCCAAACGCGUUCACACAUCUUAAAGUAGUCAUGAAAGAUCACGUACCAUUAAUUUCCAGUUUCCACCCUUUGCUCCACGGAAGUGGUUCAGGAAUUCCCUCUCCCAGAGAUUUCAUGAAAUGUUGAUA